UUUGGGCUAACUAUGUGUGAUGACCGGCCCCUAAUCCUCCGGGUUAACCUUAGAUCCUAGCCCUGAUCAUCUGUCUUGUUUUACCGUGCCUGAGUGCUCAGCCUCCCGCCCGGUCCCGACCCCUCCCCGCUUCGCUUCGAUCCUGACCCCGGCGAACCCAGCCCACCGUCGGAUCCUUCUACGUCCUUCGCAAACGCCGUUCUGUCUGACCAGUGGACCCUUGAGAUCUUUUCCCCAGAUCUUUCGCGACUGGCGCACUCGAGUUGCAUGCCCGCUUUAGAGUCUCCCUGCCAUGUGGCUCCUCUUCUCCGACGCCCGCCGCUCAGUUUUGUCUCUGGCUCGCGACCGAAUGGAUUUUCGCGCCCCCUUCCCCAAUGGCGGCGGAAGCCCCUCUGCAACCUUUCUGCAGCGCCUUGCCUCCCACGCCCAUCAUCA
rnacentral:lncRNA from 1 species